rnacentral:rRNA from 1 species
CCUACCUAUCGUUGCUUCGGCGGACUCGCCCCAGCCCGGACGCGGACUGGACCAGCGGCCCGCCGGGGACCUCAAACUCUUGUAUUCCAGCAUCUUCUGAAUACGCCGCAAGGCAAAACAAAUGAAUCAAAACUUUCAACAACGGAUCUCUUGGCUCUGGCAUCGAUGAAGAACGCAGCGAAACGCGAUAAGUAAUGUGAAUUGCAGAAUCCAGUGAAUCAUCGAAUCUUUGAACGCACAUUGCGCCCGCCAGCAUUCUGGCGGGCAUGCCUGUUCGAGCGUCAUUUCAACCCUCGACCUCCCCUUGGGGGGGUCGGCGUUGGGGACCGGCAGCACACCGCCGGCCCUGAAAUGGAGUGGCGGCCCGUCCGCGGCGACCUCUGCGUAGUAAUACAGCUCGCACCGGAACCCCGACGCGGCCACGCCGUAAAACACCCAACUUCUGAACGUUGACCUCGAAUCAGGUAGGACUACCCGCUGAACUUAA